rnacentral:rRNA from 1 species
GACGAACGCUGGCGGCGUGCUUAACACAUGCAAGUCGAACGGAAAGGCCUCUUUCGGGGGGUACUCGAGUGGCGAACGGGUGAGUAACACGUGAGUACCUGCCCUUGACUUUGGGAUAACUUCAGGAAACUGGGGCUAAUACCGGAUAGGAGCUCCUGCUGCAUGGUGGGGGUUGGAAAGUUUCGGCGGUUGGGGAUGGACUCGCGGCUUAUCAGCUUGUUGGUGGGGUAGUGGCUUACCAAGGCUUUGACGGGUAGCCGGCCUGAGAGGGUGACCGGCCACAUUGGGACUGAGAUACGGCCCAGACUCCUACGGGAGGCAGCAGUGGGGAAUAUUGCACAAUGGGUGGAAGCCUGAUGCAGCAACGCCGUGUGCGGGAUGACGGCCUUCGGGUUGUAAACCGCUUUCGCUCAUGACGAAGCUUUGUGUGACGGUAGUGGGUAAAGAAGCACCGGCUAACUACGUG